rnacentral:rRNA from 1 species
AAUUUUGGACAAUGGGGGCAACCCUGAUCCAGCCAUCCCGCGUGUCCGAUGAAGGCCUCCGGGUUGUAAUGCACUUUUGGCAGGGACGAAAAGGCCUUGCCGAAUACCUGGAGCUGCUGCUGGUACCUGUAGAAUAAGCACCGGCUAACUACGUGCCAGCAGCCGCGGUAAUACGUAGGGUGCAAGCGUUAAUCGGAAUUACUGGGCGUAAAGCGUGCGCAGGCGGUUCGGCAAGAAGGAUGUGAAAUCCCAGGGCUUAACCUUGGAACUGCAUUCUUAACUGCCGGGCUAGAGUAUGUCAGAGGGGGGUAGAAUUCCGCGUGUAGCAGUGAAAUGCGUAGAGAUGCGGAGGAAUACCGAUGGCGAAGGCAGCCCCCUGGGAUAAUACUGACGCUCAUGCACGAAAGCGUGGGGAGCAAAC